rnacentral:miRNA from 1 species
UCCUUUUUUAUCCACUUACACUCCAUUUUAUAACUAAGAAAAGGAGUGUAAGUGGAUAAAAAAGGA